AUAUUAAGGCGAGGAAGAAUUCUUCGUUUCUGAAGAAGUUUGUGAUCGAUGUUGCCUACUCUUUUCUUCGGAAAAACUGCAGGGGUCCGUCGGUGGCAUUGAACAUCCCCCAUAUUAGUCUGAUAGAAGUAGGUAUGAUUUAUUAUGUGUAGUUAGAGUUCGGAAAAACUGCAGGGAUCCAUCGACGGCAUUGAACAUCCCCCAUAUUGGUCUGAUGGAAGUAGGUAUGAUUUAUUAUGUGUAGUUAGAGUUCGGAAAAACUGCAGGGAUCCAUCGACGGCAUUGAACAUCCCCCAUAUUGGUCUGAUG
rnacentral:misc_RNA from 1 species